rnacentral:rRNA from 1 species
AGGACAAACGCUGGCGGCGUACCUAAGACAUGCAAGUCGAACGGAUUGCGUAUCUUCGGAUGUGCAGUGAGUGGCGAACGGGUGAGUAACGCGUAGGAACCCGCCUCGACGUGGGGGAUAACACUUGGAAACAGGUGCUAAUACCGCAUGUGGUCGAGAGAAGAAAGGCUUGAGCAAUCAAGUCGCGUUGAGAGGGGCCUGCGUCCGAUUAGCUAGUUGGUGGGGUAACGGCUUACCAAGGCGACGAUCGGUAGCUGGUCUGAGAGGAUGGUCAGCCACACUGGGACUGAGACACGGCCCAGACUCCUACGGGAGGCAGCAGUUAGGAAAUUUUGCCAAUGGGGGAAACCCUGAGCGAGUAACGCCGCGUGGAGGACGAAGGCCUUCGGGUUGUAAACUCCUUUUCUGUGGGACGAUGAUGACGGUACCACAGGAAGAAGCCCCGGCUAACUACGUGCCAGCAGCCGC